GCUGAGCUCUGACACUUCAAAGGAAAGGCACAGCGAGACCCAGAGCUGGUGCUGCUGGCAAACACCCGGCCUCUGAGCACGUCCCGGGUCCUCCCAGGUGUGGGGCGAGCAGCAGCUGUAAUUACUGAGCGCGAGUGAUUGCGUUAGCUGGGGAGUUAUCAAAUGCCCCGAGCCGCUGGCAGCAGCUCUGUUCUGGAUGGAGGAGUGAAGGUUUGCACCUCCAGCCAGUAAUCACAGCCAGCUUUCCAGCCCUCACCCUUGGGGAGCAGCCGAGGCACGGGGAGCUUUCAGCGUUGGUUCGCGAGGAGUUUAUCUCGAAGCUUGUGCAACGACUGGAGCGGCUCCAUGCCGAAACGGAUUGGGAGCAGAGCAAAAACCACCAAGCCAGGAAAACAAACCUGGAGCUCGAGCCGAGCCCUGAUGGAUAACCCCAGCUCCCAGGACCUCUGGAGUUCAUCUGCAGCAAGCUGGGAGCUCACCACGACACAUUUCAUCAUGAGACUCCCUGUACCGCCGGGGGAGGCAGGAGCCUCGUCGCGCCAGCCUCUCCCACUGCAUUGCUGUGCCCUUUCCUCAGCCUCGGUGGCUCUCUGCUUGAAGGAAAAAAAGGGAGAGCAGCAGCUCGAGCUGGACAGGAGCGGGGUUUUCAGUUUCACUGGAACGGCUGCGCAUUCUGCUUUUUUUUUUUCUUUUCCCACUCCAAAAUAAUAGACGAAUGAAAAUAAGAAGUUUCUCGUAAAACAGAACAGUUUGGGGGAGGAAAAAAAAAAGCUCAAUUGGACUUGAAGGAAACAUUAUUUUUUCAAUACAAUCAAAACACUUCAGUGCUAUUUUUACUCCUCAGUGCAGCCUUCAGUGGGAAAUGGAGACGCUGCAGGAUGCUUCUGGGGAUGAGAUUCCACCUGGGGUGCUGCGUGCUGGAGGCUGCGGUGGCACCAGGCACCCGUCUGUGCUUGUUCCCUCGGUGCUGCUGCCUGGUUUUGAGGCAAAAUAUGGGGCUGAAACGUGCGAUGGGCCGGAGGCUGCAGCCUGCUGCUGCUGCUUACAAACCAAACAGGGCGCCUUUGAAGGUGGAUUCGAGACUUGGACACCGGGAGGAAUUCCUGCAGGAAGAAAAUUCAACAAACAAAGUCGCUUGGCCGAGGGAAAAAUUUGUACUCACCAGAUUUUCAAAAGGUUUUUCGGGCUUCCCAGCAAUGGGAGCUGUGUUAGCAGCUUCACAGCCCGUUACAGCACGGUGGGUAAAGUCUGGAACACGAAAUGUUUCCAUGCCUGGCUUUGCAGGAAGGCUUUUGUGCAAGCAACUGCUCCACUUGGUGCCUCAGUUUCCCCUGUGCAACCCUCAGUGCCCAGCUGAGUACCUAUUAGGUAGCAGGGGGGAAAAAAAGCCAUGAAACACAGCCCACGUUCAGCUGGAGUUGGGGACUUCUGACUAUUUUUAGAGCCAAUAGUGUAAAUCUCCAGGCUGAAAAAGAGCGUAUUAUUUUCCUAUUGAUUCUGAGCCUUUUCCAGCUGGCAAACACGUGUCUCCACCAGGACCCUUUGUUUAAACAACUCGGAGUCCCAACGUGGUUCCUCUUUGUCCCUUUUCUGCCUUACCCUCCUGCUGCCUGCUGGCUUUUAGGCAUCUGGGUGCCCCAAAUUGCUCCUGGGAGCUGGGCACCAGCAAGACCCCAGUUUUGGGGCAAGGAAAAAGCCACUGAGCUGGAAACGAAUAUGCAGAAGGGGUGCAGGGAGCGCAGGGCAAAAUGGGGGGGUCCAGCCGGUGGGACCUUUUUUUGGGGCUCUGAUUUGGGCCGUUUGAAGCUGCUGCUGGUGGCCACCAUCAGCAGAGUGUGGGAACACAGGAUCAGCCCCUCCUGGGGGGCUGCCAGCCUCUGGAGGGGUUUGGGCUGUGUUUUCCAUGAGCAGCUCGAGUUUCCCAGUCCCUCCUGUGAUUUGGCUUGGCUGGAAAGGGGGGCAGCUCAUGGGGAGGGCAAAGAGUCCCUGCCCCCCAAAAUCUGCCCAAGGGGUGUUCGGGAUGGGGAUGCCCAUGGCCUGUGGGGUCCCCUGCUCAGCCCUGGGCUGUUCCAUAGGGCUGUGACUGAGCACCAGAUCCCAGCCUGCCUGGGAGCCUCUGGGAGCAGAAUUGUCCCCCUGAGCUCCAUGAGCCCCUGCAGACCCCACAAUGGGGUCCCUCGGCCACGUCCCCUCCGUGCAGAGCAGUUUUCCAGCCCAGGACCUGGCUGAAGCUGAAGGUAAAACCCAGCAGCCCCACACCACUGCAGCUCCGUUCUCUCCCCUUUAUUACUCAUCGGGAUUUAAAUCAAAGCCACCUCCAGCCGGCAGUGAAUGAAACCCACAGCGCGUCGCAGGGUGCCGUCUGCCAGGCAGGAACAGAGACCCCAGCAGGGGGCUGAGCAGGGUGGGGGGCAGCUGGAUGUCCCCACGCCGUGCCACCCACCCACGGGGGACAUCGCGGAGAGCCCCGCGGCACGCGCCCAGCCCCAGCUCGCGAGGCAGACGCGUGGCUGGAAAACAUCGUCCCGGGCGCACACGCUCCUGGAGCAGGGGCCGCAGCAAGGGAAGGGCUUACUCCAAUUAUUAAUUAGCUUUGUUUUUAAACACGGGCCCCGAGCAGCCUCCGCAGCAGAAGGAAUUGUUAUUAAACGCCAGCCCUCCGGCAGGCAGGCAGGCCAUGUGCGCGCGGCGGAGCCCGCAGGCAGCGCUUUGGCUGCCAGAUAAAGACGUUUUUGUUGUCAUCUCGCCUCCGUCCCAGCCCUCCGCCUCCCGCGCUCCCACCCACCCUCGGCCAGCGGCUCCCAGGAACAAAACCCCCGCGCGCCGCGCUCGGCCAACGCUCGCUCGUGGCGGAGCCGCGGUGCCGAGAGGAGGAGGAGGAGGAGGAGGAGGAGGAGGGAGACAGCCAGAGAGAAAUUGUCUUGGGGAUUAAUAAGAGGCAGGAGGAGGGAGAGGUGCACGCAGGUAAGCUGUGGGCAGGUGCUUUCCCCCCCGAGGCUCUUCUCGCCUUGCCUUGAUCCAGCCUGGAUGCUGCACUGGUCCACGAUGCU
rnacentral:lncRNA from 1 species